AGUGAACGCUGGCGGCAGGCCUAACACAUGCAAGUCGAACGGCAGCACAGUGCUUGCUUGCGGUUCCGGGGGGGGAGUGGGGGGCGGGACAGGAGAAUAUCCUACUCUAGUUUUUGGUGGGGCUUAAGGUAGGGGGGGUUACGCCAGUACCGCAGACGCUGUAGGGGGGGGAGGGUUGGAUCUUUGGGCCUGGCGGGAUUGGAUGCGCGGCUGUCGGAUUUGCUAGUUGGGGGGGUAAUGGCCCACCCAGGCGACGAUUCGCAGCGGGUCUGAGAGGAUGAUCAGCCACAUUGGAACUUGGCCACGCUCCAGACUACUACGGGAGGCAGCAGUGGGGAAUAGUGGACAAUGGGCGCAAGUCUGAUCCAGCCAUCCCGCGUGUGUGAAGAAGGCGUCCGGGUUGUAAAGCCCUUUUGCUGGUAAAGAACAGCAGUAGGUUAAGACCACGCUGUUCUGACGGUACUCAAAGAAUAAGCACCGGCUAACUUCGUG
rnacentral:rRNA from 1 species